GCAGUCGUGGCCGAGUGGUUAAGGUGAUAAACUAGAAAUCCCCGCACAGGUUUGAAUCCUGUCGACUACG
rnacentral:tRNA from 2 species